rnacentral:misc_RNA from 1 species
UGCUGGCGCUUUGGGUGCUGC